rnacentral:rRNA from 1 species
GAGGCCGAAAGGCGUAGUCGAUGGGAAACGGGUUAAUAUUCCCGUACUUGGUGUUACUGCGAAGGGGGGACGGAGAAGGCUAUGUUGGCCGGGCGACGGUUGUCCCGGUUUAAGCGUGUAGGUGUGUGUUCCAGGUAAAUCCGGUUCACUUUAACACUGAGGCGUGACGACGAGGCACUACGGUGCUGAAGCAACAAAUGCCCUGCUUCCAGGAAAAGCCUCUAAGCAUCAGGUAACAUCAAAUCGUACCCCAAACCGACACAGGUGGUCAGGUAGAGAAUACCAAGGCGCUUGAGAGAACUCGGGUGAAGGAACUAGGCAAAAUGGUGCCGUAACUUCGGGAGAAGGCACGCUGACACGUAGGUGAAGUGAUUUACUCAUGGAGCUGAAGUCAGUCGAAGAUACCAGCUGGCUGCAACUGUUUAUUAAAAACACAGCACUGUGCAAACACGAAAGUGGACGUAUACGGUGUGACGCCUGCCCGGUGCCGGAAGGUUAAUUGAUGGGGUCAGCGCAAGCGAAGCUCCUGAUCGAAGCCCCGGUAAACGGCGGCCGUAACUAUAACGGUCCUAAGGUAGCGAAAUUCCUUGUCGGGUAAGUUCCGACCUGCACGAAUGGCGUAAUGAUGGCCAGGCUGUCUCCACCCGAGACUCAGUGAAAUUGAACUCGCUGUGAAGAUGCAGUGUACCCGCGGCAAGACGGAAAGACCCCGUGAACCUUUACUAUAGCUUGACACUGAACAUUGAGCCUUGAUGUGUAGGAUAGGUGGGAGGCUUUGAAGCGUGGACGCCAGUCUGCGUGGAGCCGACCUUGAAAUACCACCCUUUAAUGUUUGAUGUUCUAACGUGGACCCGUAAUCCGGGUUGCGGACAGUGUCUGGUGGGUAGUUUGACUGGGGCGGUCUCCUCCUAAAGAGUAACGGAGGAGCACGAAGGUUGGCUAAUCCUGGUCGGACAUCAGGAGGUUAGUGCAAUGGCAUAAGCCAGCUUGACUGCGAGCGUGACGGCGCGAGCAGGUGCGAAAGCAGGUCAUAGUGAUCCGGUGGUUCUGAAUGGAAGGGCCAUCGCUCAACGGAUAAAAGGUACUCCGGGGAUAACAGGCUGAUACCGCCCAAGAGUUCAUAUCGACGGCGGUGUUUGGCACCUCGAUGUCGGCUCAUCACAUCCUGGGGCUGAAGUAGGUCCCAAGGGUAUGGCUGUUCGCCAUUUAAAGUGGUACGCGAGCUGGGUUUAGAACGUCGUGAGACAGUUCGGUCCCUAUCUGCCGUGGGCGCUGGAGAACUGAGGGGGGCUGCUCCUAGUACGAGAGGACCGGAGUGGACGCAUCACUGGUGUUCGGGUUGUCAUGCCAAUGGCACUGCCCGGUAGCUAAAUGCGGAAGAGAUAAGUGCUGAAAGCAUCUAAGCACGAAACUUGCCCCGA